rnacentral:rRNA from 1 species
GACGAACGCUGGCGGCGUGCCUAAUACAUGCAAGUCGAGCGAGUCUGCCUUGAAGAUCGGAGUGCUUGCACUCUGUGAAACAAGAUACAGGCUAGCGGCGGACGGGUGAGUAACACGUGGUAACCUGCCCAAGAGAUCGGGAUAACACCUGGAAACAGAUGCUAAUACCGGAUAACAACAGAUGAUGCCUAUCAACUGUUUAAAAGAUGGUUCUGCUAUCACUCUUGGAUGGACCUGCGGUGCAUUAGCUAGUUGGUAGGGUAACGGCCUACCAAGGCGAGGAUGCAUAGCCGAGGUGAGAGACUGAUCGGCCACAUUGGGACUGAGACACGGCCCAUACUCCUACGGGAGGCAGCAGUAGGGAAUCUUCCACAAUGGACGCAAGUCUGAUGGAGCAACGCCGCGUGAGUGAAGAAGGGUUUCGGCUCGUAAAGCUCUGUUGUUGGUGAAGAAGGACAGGGGUAGUAACUGACCUUUGUUUGACGGUAAUCAAUUAGAAAGUCACGGCUAACUACGUG